AUCUACAGCCAUAUCACCCUGAACGCGUCCGAUCUCAUCUGAUCUCAGAAGCUAAGCAGGGUCGGGCCCAGUUAGUACUUGGAUGGGAGAAACAUUCUUGCUAAACUGCUGCUUUACUAC
rnacentral:rRNA from 1 species